ensembl:lncRNA
AGUCAUAAAACCCAGGUGGAGGAAAUAUUUUCGCUCAUUACCUACUCCCUAGUCCAGGAAGACCCAGGCGAUAAUUUUUGUAUUGAGCAAACUGCUUCAUUACUGUGAUUAUUUUUUCUUUGCAGUAACUGUAAGACUUCUGAUAUUUUUGUGACUAUUUUAGCUGCUACAUUAAGUAAAAAAUUUCCCAAAUGUGUAAUAACAAGUUGAAAACAUUCCUAAACAAUUAUGGGAAGGAGUGAUUCUUAAAUCUAUUCAGAAGGCAUCCGCAAUAGCUGGAGGCUCUGCCUGAGUCUUAAAAAGCUGAUGAAAUGAACUACAGGCAAACCAAUCAGCUAAUGACGUGCACUGAGGGCUUCCACUUAAUAAACUCCGCAGCCUGUCAUGGAGACAAGCUACCUUUCUGCCUUUGCCUGUCUUUCACAUGCGUAUGUUUGGUAAAAUUUUGCAUAUAUUAAUAGGCUACAUGAAACUGUUGCCGCGUCUACCACCCUGGUGGUACUAAGGGGCACAGAUACUCUGGUCAAGCAAGAAGGGAAAAGAGGAAAAAGUGAUUAAAACAAGUAGUGGAAUUCCUGUCCCUCCGGAGAAGUUUUCAUGGCACAAGUGGCUCGGGUUGAGAAAAGACCAGAGAAGUUUCAGCUGCUUAGGGUCUGCAUCUGCUAGAAGAUGGGAAGUGGUCAACCAAGGACUUGGUGAUAGAAACUGAGGAGGCGAGGAGUUACAAGAAUUCUUGGUUGCUCUCAAGAUUCAGUGCACCAAGUGGGGUCUCAGCAACUGCGAAGCUGAGCACAGGAACCAGUGCCCUCAAGGUUCUGCCUGCCUGUGGGGAAAAGUGAGAAGCCAAGUCUCAAGGAAGACAGCUGAAGUGAAAGGCGAGAGAACCGCAACUGUGCGUGAAGAACUUGCCUCAAAUCAUUGGGUUUGGCUUCUCCUAUCAAACUUUCCCCAAGGUUUUCCAAAGCUGGAGCAGACUUCCAUUCUUCCUGAACCACACCUUGAUCAGGAGACUUUGAUUAACAUGACAGAGAAUUGUGUCCUGUGUACUUAGAAGAGGACGUGGGCUCUCAUCUUCUCCAAGAAAGUGAAAAGACCGUUUUCAAGAUCACUGAUGACUCAGCCAUAGAUGUUAGACUGACCGCAUCCUGAUGCAGGUUCAAGUUCGGGAAGCCAAAAUCUCAAAUGAACGCUGAGGACACAAUGAGGUCCCUGUUAUUGGAUUUGCAGCAGACAGAGGCCUGGAUUUUCCUUCUCCACCUGCUCUACAACCAGCCCAUUCAGCACGUUCCUACUUGCUUCUCCGUCUCAGAGAAGUGUCAUUUUUAUCAUCAAGGACAUCCCUACUACUUGUUAAGAUAAUAGUGCCCACAAACUACAUGUCCAACAACAGUGAAAUGAUUAAAUAAAAUGUAGCCUAUCUCUAUCCUGGACCAACAUAUAGACAGCAAAAACAAAUUGUCUAAGAAUAUUUAAUGACAGAAAAAUGCUUCUAAUAUACUUUGAUGGGAUUUUUUAAACCCUCAUAUCUAUACUUUUAGUCUCAUCUCAAGUUUGCAAAAAAGUUUUAAAAUUUUUUCUAUUCCUGGAAAAAAUACUAGAACAAUAAACUCAUUAUUAAGCACAGUUAUUUGUGGAUGGUGGGAUUAGGAGAUAAGCUUUGAUUUCCUGUUUAUCCUCACUUGCCUUUUCCAAAAUUUCAGCUACUAUUUUUGCCAGAUUGUAUUAGUGUUCUUAAUUAUUCUCCUGUCUCUGUAUUCUUACACUUCAUCACAUGAUUUGAUAGCCCUCCCGAUAAAAAGAAGUGUUUCACCACCCCUUCUGUUUGAGUUCACCCUUGUGACUUGCUUUGGUCAAUGGAAUGUGAGCAAGCAUGUCAUGAGCAAAGGCCUAAACGGUGCUUUCGUGGUUGGGCUUGCCCUCCUGUGCCUCUGCCGUCUCCAUGAGAAGACUGGCCUCGGCUAGCCUGCUGGUUCCAGGAGGAGGAUGAAACACACGUGGAGCAGAGCCAAGCAGAGCUGAACCCACUGACCCCUGCCGCCCUGCAUGUCUCUGUCUGUGGCUGAGGUUUUUGUGGUUGAUUGUUAUGCAGCAUUAUUGUAGCAAUACCUAUCCAACUCGCUAUUCAUACAAGGAAAAGGCUGUAUUUGUGAUUCAAAGAAGUCAAGUCCAGUGUAAUUGUGGAGUAGAAAAGAGAGACCCAAGGAUGGAACACGUCUCCACAUUGCAAAACAAGUGCCAUGAUGCCCAUGCUCAGAGCUUCCUCUCACUCUUUUACAUUGUCUUCUUAGACAAUGAGAUCUUAAACACUUCGAAAUCUGUAGUCCAGAUGUGGAGAGAUUGCAAAGACUCUGGGUCAGCUCAACUCAUUUACGUGCUUUUCCCAGGAUUCUUUCCCUUGCUUUUCCUUUUGGUCAUUAGUGAGGAAAUUUAUCAGUAGCAUACUCUUUGUCAAAGAAGUCACUGUAUUAUUUUUCAAUUUUCCAUGCUCCAAUUUCUCCUCCAUCCUUCUUUCUCUCUCUCUGUUCCUCCCUUCUUCCCUCCCUCUAUGGUUUUCUUUAUGACAAUAGCGAAACAACAGAAAGGGGCAGCAAUUCUAGAGGACCACUCCUCUUUUCAAGGACCGCUCCUUGGAACAACCCAAUUUAGUACAGGACUAUUUCAUUACUUUUUUCCCCCAAAGGUGUUACUCUUAUAUGCCAUCCAUCCUCUGCUUUAUGGAGACUCAGGUGUAUUUACAAACCAUGUUUGACUACACUGACAGCCAGCUGAGUGCAAUAAGUCCAGUCACUAUUCCACUUGUCUCGGGCCAAAGUGAGUGGAGCUUCAGUGGAGGUGGAGAACUCAGAACUAAGCCAGUCUAUCCAGAGGGGGUUUUCUCUCAGAGACACGGGGAGUUAGGACUGGUCCUGGAUUAUCAGCAAGGCCGAGGAAAGAGCAGUGUUCCCCUAUGCUCUGGGCUAGUCAAUAUUGGGAUACUUAAUGCCCAGAGGGAAAUAUGAGCCACUCAGGGCUACACAGAGAAGUCGUGACAAAGGACAGAAAAAGAUGGCCACCUCAUCUUGGGUCUUUGAGCAGGCUGACACUAGCUGGUCUCCUUUUUCCUUCUCCCCACUCAACCUUCCUAGAUGUGGGGAAGAAGGAAUCCCAUCCCACCUCCACUUCAGGCACCUCCAGCCUGUGCUGGUUUGGGGAUGAGAAAAGCUUGGAAUGAAUAUGAGGUUCAAGCUUAAAAAAAAAACAAACAACUGGAGUACAUUUUAAGAACUGAAAUAAAACUUUUAAUAAAUUGAAGUCACUUAAAAAGAGGGACUCAGACUAGUAUCACUAAGGAAAACUGAAAGCCAGAUCGAAUGGAGAGUUUGACAGAGUACAGUUAAGAGCAGGUAUUGAAAAGCUUAAGCCAUUUGAUGUUUAAACUCCCAGCCAGCUGAGACCGCUUACUAAACCAGCUUCCUCAACUUACCAAACAAGAGAUUUGGGUUGGGGAGGAAGAAGAGAAAAACACAUGACUCUUUCUUUAACUGCUCACGGUAGGAUCACUGUCCCCUGCCAUUCCCUGCCACACCAUCUCUUUCCUGCCCCUUUCUGCACACCCCAGAAAGGACUUGGCUGGCUUUGUGGACCAGUUGCUUUCAGACAAGAGGCAAUCUCCAGUCAAGCAUCCUUCAAUCUGGCAGGAAGAGGGGCCAGGUGGUUGCGUCAAGUUAGGAAGAGAUAGUUGAUGCUCCACGUACUCUGUGCUCCUCAUGUGGCCUCUUUCUCUAUUCUGAGUCCUCCUCUUGUAUUAAUGUGUUGGGGGAGGGAGGACGAAGGGGGUGCUUGCCCCAAUUCUCCUAAAAUGAUACCUUGGAAAUCUUGAAACCUGGAAUGGGAGGGACUAAAUCUCUUGGGUCCUCAUCAGUGGGCUGUGGUAGUUAAUUCCAGGAAACUAAGAAGCACUUCCUCCUCACCUCACACUGGCCCCUUUGAAAUAUGUAACUCAUGUGCGUGCAGCUCCCCCGCACCACCUCUCCUUUGCCCAACCAGCCACUUGACUUGACCCACUGGUUUGGACGUAACUUUUACUGCCGCAGCCACUAAUGAUAAUGGUAGUUUAUGAACUACGACUGGCGUGUACUCUGCACCAGGGGCUUGACCUGCUUUGUGUCGUCUGUCUCACUACAACACACAACUUUAUUAGUCCAUUUGACAGACGAGGAAUCUCUGGCUGUGACCGCCUCUCUCCCACCCAAGGUCAGAAUUCUAAUAUUUCCUUUCUGACCUUGUGCCCCUCUGAGGUAAGCUAG